rnacentral:rRNA from 1 species
GAUGAACGCUGGCGGCGUGCCUAAUACAUGCAAGUCGAGCGAACAGACGGGGAGCGUUCUCCUCUUCCGUUAGCGGCGGACGGGUGAUUAACACGUAUAUAACCUACCUAUAAGACUAGGAUAACUUCGGGGAACCUGAUCCAAUACCGGAUAAUAUAUUGAACCGCAUGGUUCAAUAGUUAAAGACGGUUUUGCUGUCACUUAGACAUGUUUCCGCGUCGCAUUAGCUAGUUGGUAAGGUAACGGCUUACCAAGGCAACGAUGCGUAGCCGACCUGAGAGGAUGAUCAGCCACACUGGAACUGAGACACGGUCCAGACUCCUACGGGAGGCAGCAGUAGGGAAUAUUCGGCAAUGGGCGAAAGCCUGACGGAGCAAUGCCGCGUGAGUGAAGAAGGUCUUCGGAUUGUAAAGCUCUGUUAUUAGGGAAGAACAAAAGUGUAAGUAAAUAUGCACGUCUUGACGGUACCUAAAGAGAAAGCAACGGCUAACUACGUG